ACGCGGGCUAGGUGGGGGCUAGGGGUCCCUAUCCGUAAAUCCCCUUAGACGGACCGAAUGCCUGGUGCGUCUUUGUGUAAGAGUACAUCCUUCGUCUUAGGUGUUGACAUCCUGUCCUACGCGGUGGAGCUUGAUAUGAACCGGGUCAGGCCGGAAGGAGCAGCCCUAAGUAUCAAAUUCCAUGCUCGUAGAAAACAGGAUCGAGCUGAUGACGAAAGGCUCUGUAUUCUUAUGCAAAGGCAAUCCAGGAAGCCCGCUU
rnacentral:SRP_RNA from 1 species